UACAGAGGUGGCAAGCGUUGUUCGGAAUUACUGGGCGUAAAGGGCGCGUAGGCGGCCUUCUAAGUCAGACGUGAAAUCCCCCGGCUUAACCUGGGAACUGCGUCUGAUACUGGGAGGCUUGAGUAUGGGAGAGGGAUGUAGAAUUCCAGGUGUAGCGGUGAAAUGCGUAGAUAUCGAGAGGAACACCUGCGGCGAAGGCGGGUUGCUGGGCUGAUACUGACGCUGAUGCGCGAAAGCCAGGGGAGCGAACGGG
rnacentral:rRNA from 1 species